rnacentral:rRNA from 1 species
UACGUAGGGGGCAAGCGUUGUCCGGAAUCAUUGGGCGUAAAGAGCGCGUAGGCGGUCCGAUAAGUCUGCCGUGAAAGCCAGGGGCUCAACCCUUGGAUGCCGGUGGAUACUGUCGGGCUAGAGUCCGGAAGAGGCGAGUGGAAUUCCUGGUGUAGCGGUGAAAUGCGCAGAUAUCAGGAAGAACACCAAUGGCGAAGGCAGCUCGCUGGGACGGAACUGACGCUGAGGCGCGAAAGCGUGGGGAGCAAACAGG